rnacentral:rRNA from 1 species
AUUGAACGCUGGCGGCAUGCUCUACACAUGCAAGUCGAACGGUAACAGGCCGCAAGGUGCUGACGAGUGGCGAACGGGUGAGUAAUGCAUCGGAACGUGCCCAGUCGUGGGGGAUAACGCAGCGAAAGCUGUGCUAAUACCGCAUACGAUCUAUGGAUGAAAGCGGGGGACCGUAAGGCCUCGCGCGAUUGGAGCGGCCGAUGUCAGAUUAGGUAGUUGGUGGGGUAAAGGCUCACCAAGCCAACGAUCUGUAGCUGGUCUGAGAGGACGACCAGCCAAACUGGGACUGGGCGACGGCCCAGACUCCUACGGGAGGCAGCAGUGGGGAAUUUUGGACAAUGGGCGCAAGCCUGAUCCAGCAAUGCCGCGUGCAGGAAGAAGGCCUUCGGGUUGUAAACUGCUUUUGUACGGAACGAAACGGUCUGGGUUAAUACCCUGGGCUAAUGACGGUACCGUAAGAAUAAGCACCGGCUAACUACGUGCCAGCCGCCGCCGUAA